rnacentral:lncRNA from 1 species
GUCCCCUUUUCCAAUUAAUGAUACCAGUUAUAUAAUCAUUAUUAAAAGUAAUAAGGCCUGUCUAUUUACAUUGAUAUGCAACCUUAACUGUGCACAUUUCUGCGUUAUAAGAUCUAACAAUUUUCUGUGAACCUUUAAACAAACAUAAUGCAUCGGUUUCAUUAGCUGUGGACACAUUCCAUAUGGGUAACUGGUACUUAUAAGGGUUACUAUUUGUCCAAUUCAUCCAAAUGCGUUCAGUAAAUGAAUGAUUGCAUAUUGCAUGCUGAUAGAAAGGUGGUGGAGAAAGGUUCUUGAGGGGGUGUGUGUGACGAAUGCUAGAUGAGGAGCUAAGGCCUAAUUGGGCUGGGGGUAUUGAAGAAUUGUUCAUCAUGUCAGAGUCUUUUUUCAGAAACAAACAGGUUUCAAACUUGCCAUUGACUUGUACUCAUAAUGGCAUUCAAUGAACAAUAUCAGAGGGAGUAUAACAACUCCAGAAAGCAUAGCACACAACAUAAUCUUGGUCUCAGGUACGUAUGAUCCUCUCAAUCUACGAUAUGGUGUGAAAAGCCAUGAUGCUUCGCUGAGGAGAAAUUCUUCUGUUUCCGAGCGAGGAGUGGUGUUGUCUUCCUUGGUUCCCCUCUUUGGACACAGCUUCACUCGGGAUGCGUGAAUCCAGAUGUCAUGGGAAUCUGUGAGGACAGCGGUUCUGGGUACAGCAAUCACAGUAGCAGGUGGUCCAAAAGGGUAUCCUCCUUUCUUGGUCCUGUUCAGCUGACGGAUAUACACCUUGUCACCGGGCUGGUAUGAAUGAGUAGGUUCCUGUGAAGGUAAGGGAAAACUGCGAAGAAACAUUGUCAUACAUACCAUUCGGUUUUAUCAACAAUUCCUGUACAUAUUGUUCUUGUAUUAGCUGUAAAUCCCCAGACAUUAUAACAAGCGGUUCCCUGGCCCAGGGUGUGGGAAAAGGUCAUCCCAUCAAAAAUCUCAGAUGGAGAUAAUUUAGUCACCUUGUGGGGAUUCAUUCUUAUCUCAGCUAAAAUAGCUGGUAGAUAUCUAGUCCAAUUUACCCAUGUUCCUGGGUAAAUUCUGGGCUUUUCCUUAAUAGUCCUAUUCAUCCUUUCAACUACCCCUGUAUUCUGUGGAUGAUAGGGUAUAUGAAACUGCCAGGUAACUUGCAAGAAUUUAGCAAGUUCCUGGGCAACCCCACUGGCAAAAACCGGGCCAUUAUCAGAGCCAAUCUGCAGAGGGCAGCCAUACCUGGGAAUAAUUUCAGUAACAAUAAUCUUCACUAGCAUCUUCCCUAGAUGUCACAAAGGCCUCAUGCCAUCUACUAAACUGAUUAACUAUGACCAGUAAGUAUUGCUGUUUCUUACCAAUUUUGGAUACAUGAAUAAAAUCAAUCUGUAAGUGUGUAAAAAGAGCAGUGUUCACACGAUCUUACAAAAGACUGUACAUGCUGCCUGAGAUUCCUAAUAUAAAAUGAAUUCAUGAAGAAUUGAAUGGUGCUUGCUAUGUGCCUGACUGAUGAAAAUAAAUCAGCUUGCUUCAAGUAUGCCUAUUCUUCAAGUAUGCCUAUUCUCCCCUCUUUAGAGAACAGAUCAUUUUGAUCUUUCUCUAAACCUUGUUUAAUCCAAAAGACAGAUUCUGGGUAUUUAAAAAAAGAAUCUCAUAACCACUGAAGCGCUGGGCUGUCAUGUGUUGUACGGUGAUAUUUGUCAGCUGAGUGACCUGGUGACUGGCAUAAAGUAUUGUAGGAUGCCCUAGUGUGAUAGUAGUAGCAGUUUCAACAGCCAUUGCACAUGCUAUCAAUGCUCUGAGACACGCCGGCAUACCCUGUACCGGAGCUUGAACUACUUUGGAAAAGAAUGCUAUGGGACGCAUACCGCCUCCUUGCUCUUGUGCACAGACCGCGGCCAUGGUUUUACAGUUGUCCCGAGCAUACAAAUGAAAUGGUUUACAAUACACAGGUAGUCCUAAAGCCUGGGCUUGCACAAUAACAACUGUAAGGGCAAUAUAUGCAGAUAGCAUGUCUGGUGACCAGCAGACAUUUUCAGGGCUGUCAGAACGUACAGCCUCCCUUAGGAUUGAGUCAUAAUGGGAGCAUUCAGGGAUCCAUUGGUGGCAGUAAUUAAUCAUGCCGAGGAAGGUGAGCAACUCCUUCCGAGUAGUGGGUGUUGGAAUCCUCUGAAUGACCUCAAUACGUUUUGGACUCAAUUGUCUGGUGCCUAAAGCCAGAACAAAACCUAAGUAUUCAACCUUUGAUUUACACAAUUGCAUUUUGUGUUUAAC